rnacentral:rRNA from 1 species
CCUACGUGAGGCUGCAGUAGGGAAUCUUCCACAAUGGGCGAAAGCCUGAUGGAGCAACGCCGCGUGGGUGAAGAAGGUCUUCGGAUCGUAAAACCCUGUUGUUAGAGAAGAAAGUGCGUGAGAGUAACUGUUCACGUUUCGACGGUAUCUAACCAGAAAGCCACGGCUAACUACGUGCCAGCAGCCGCGGUAAUACGUAGGUGGCAAGCGUUAUCCGGAUUUAUUGGGCGUAAAGGGAACGCAGGCGGUCUUUUAAGUCUGAUGUGAAAGCCUUCGGCUUAACCGGAGUAGUGCAUUGGAAACUGGGAGACUUGAGUGCAGAAGAGGAGAGUGGAACUCCAUGUGUAGCGGUGAAAUGCGUAGAUAUAUGGAAGAACACCAGUGGCGAAAGCGGCUCUCUGGUCUGUAACUGACGCUGAGGUUCGAAAGCGUGGGUAGCAAACAGGAUUAGAUACCCCAGUAGUC